rnacentral:rRNA from 1 species
UACGGAGGGUGCAAGCGUUGUCCGGAAUUAUUGGGCGUAAAGGGCUCGUAGGCGGUUUGUCGCGUCGGGAGUGAAAACUCAGGGCUUAACCCUGAGCCUGCUUCCGAUACGGGCAGACUAGAGGUAUGCAGGGGAGAAUGGAAUUCCUGGUGUAGCGGUGAAAUGCGCAGAUAUCAGGAGGAACACCGGUGGCGAAGGCGGGUCUCUGGGCAGUAACUGACGCUGAGGAGCGAAAGCAUGGGGAGCGAACAGG